rnacentral:rRNA from 1 species
GAUGAACGCUGGCGGCGUGCUUAACACAUGCAAGUCGAACGAAGCACCAAGAUUUGAUGCUUCGGUUGAAGAUAUUGGUUACGGAGUGGCGAACGGGUGAGUAACACGUGGGUAAACUGACUAAUACUGGGGGAUAACAGCUAGAAAUGACUGCUAAUACGGCAUAAGACCACCGCACCGCCUGGUGCAGGGGUAAAAACUUCGGUGGUAAGAGAUGGAACCGCGUCUGAUUAGGUGGUUGGUGGGGUAACGGCCUACCAAGCCGACGAUCAGUAGCCGGCCUGAGAGGGUGACCGGCCACAAUGGGACUGAGACACGGCCCAAACUCCGACGGGAGGCAGCAGUGGGGAAUAUUGCACAAUGGGGGAAACCCUGAUGCAACGACGCCGCGUGAGCGAUGAAGUAUUUCGGGAUGUAAAGCUCUAUCAGCAGGGAAGAAAAUGACGGUACCUGACUAAGAAGCACCGGCUAAAUACGUGCCAGCCGCCGCGGUAAUAC